UAGGACCUUCUGCAUCACCAGAUCCUUCUUAUCCUUCCUAGACUCCACUUUUUCUUCGGAGUCAUUCAAAUCUUCUCCCGAACAGUCGUUCGGAUCAUUUUCUGCUUUAGGGAGAUCUUCCCAUUCUUCAAGGAACGUCAUAAUUAAACUCCUUCCAUUCCCCAUUCAACUUCUUCUCUUAAAUAAUUGCCUCCCAGUCGCAACGAGUCAUCUC
rnacentral:lncRNA from 1 species